CCAACCCCACCCAUGCCAGCCCCCACCAGGUCAGCCCCUCCCAAGCCAGCCCCUCUGAAGCCAGCCCCUCCCAGGCCAGCCCCAGCCCAGGCCCAGCACCUGAGUUUUCCUGGGGCAGGAAGCAGAAACCAAGUCCAGGGCCCCUGGAGGGAUCCAAUCCACGUGGUGCAGGGAGUAUUGAGACCCUAAGAAGACAGGCCCCAUGGGAGCACCCGCUGGCCAUCACUGGGGCAGCCCACCUGGCUGUGCCUCUGCUGCCUUUCCCAGGAGGGAGGAGCCGGGAGGCUCCCUCUGGGGGGCUGGGGAGUGAGGGGCUCACAUGCCAGGUGGGACCCAGUUAGAGGGUUACUGCUGGGCUGGCAGAGGCUGUAUCCUCCCUCCAGCCAGGCAGGUCAGGACACAGGAGGGCAGAGAGGGUGGGAGUGUGGCCUCCUCCCUGCCCCGAGGCACCCAGGACUUUCUCUCCAGCGCCCCAUCUCCUUCCUGGGGUCCUGGUGCAGGGAAGGCCAUGGUUCACAGUUACAGCUGCUCCCUUUCAUCAGGAGCCCCUUCCUCAGCAGGUUGGUGCCACCCUGGGCUGCACAGGAGCCUGGGAGGGCAGGACACGGGGCAUCGAGGGUGCAGUCACUGCCCUACACAAAGCCAGCUUCUGAGCAAAGAGGGAAGAGCGCUGCCACGCGUGGGCCUCAGAGCCCUCAAGCCCACAGAAUGACCCGCCACUGGAGACCCCCGACCCUGGGCGGUGGCUGGGGGGCUGAGGCUGGCGCCUGUGCCCCAGGAUCCUGAGAGCGGAGCCUCUUCUCCUGAGCGUCGGGCCUCCAGCAGCUGGUUCCGGGGCUCUGAACCGCAUGGCUUCCCCCUGACAUCCAAUGUGAGCCGUCCCUGACCCUUCCCCUUUUGAAAGAGUAUAUGGAACGUUCUGUCUUAGACGAAGUGGCGGCCAUGAGGUCUGCGUGAGAGAAGUCGGAGGGGAGCGGAUCUGCAGUGAAGAUCCCCAGGAAGGGGUCCGCCCUGGUGUCCGACAGUCUGUGACAACGUGUUGCCCGUCACACGCAACUCAGGACGCAGACACGUACAGUGGGAAGGCCACGGGAGGAGCCCGGGGAGAAGAUGGCCGUCCACAAACCAGGACCAGAGGCCUGGAGCAGGUGUCCCUUCCUGGCCUCCAAUGGAGCCGAGCCUGCUGCCACCUGGGUUUGGACUUGGAGGUGACAAACUUCUGAUGUCUAAGGCACCCAAUCUGUGGUAGUUUAUGAAGUGCCCUCAGGUUGGCUGCACCCUGGGACUGAAGGCCAGAGCUGCUCUCGGGGUGCUCCGGGGUCCACUCCCGCCAUUGCCAGCCCCACGCUCCCCGCUCUGGUUGCCCGCAGCUUCGUAAAUAAAAGCCUUCCUCCAACUGUCCCGCCGUGGGUGCCCGCCCGUUGGGACCCUGACUGAUACAUGCUGUACUGGUUUUUUUAAACCUUUUAAAAUUUAUAUUUUAUUUAUUUAUUUUUAUUAUAUUUUAUUUAAAUAAUAAA